GAGACAGCAGCCGCCGCGGUAACACCGAGGGUGCGAGCGUUAAUCGGAUUUACUGGGCGUAAAGCGUGUGUAGGUUGUUGUUCAAGUCAGUUGUGAAAUCCCUGGGCUCAACCUGGGAACUGCUUCUAAGACUGAACGACUAGAGUACGGUAGAGGGUGGUGGAAUUUCCGGUGUAGCGGUGAAAUGCGUAGAUAUCGGAAGGAACAUCAAUGGCGAAGGCAGCCACCUGGGCCUGUACUGACACUGAGACACGAAAGCGUGGGGAUCAAACAGGAUUAGAUACCCCCGUAGUCCUGUCUCUUAUACA
rnacentral:rRNA from 1 species